rnacentral:rRNA from 1 species
AUGGGAACGCGAAGAACCUUACCUAGACUUGACAUCUCCUGAAUAGUGUAGAGAUACAUGAAGCCCUUCGGGCGAGGAAGACAGGUGGUGCAUGGUUGUCGUCAGCUCGUGUCGUGAGAUGUUGGGUUAAGUCCCGCAACGAGCGCAACCCUUAUUACUAGUUGCUACCAUUAAGUUGAGCACUCUAGUGAGACUGCCCGGGGUUAACCGGGAGGAAGGCGGGAGUGACGUCAAAUCAUCAUGCCCCUUAUGUCUAGGGCAACACACGUGCUACAAUGGUGAGUACAGAUAGAUGCGAUACCGCAAGGUGGAGCCAAACUCUAAAACUCAUCCCAGUUCGGAUUGUAGGCUGCAACUCGCCUACAUGAAAGUUGGAGUUGCUAGUAAUCGCGAAUCAGAAUGUCGCGGUGAAUACGUU